GAGAUAAAUAAGAGAGAGGGAGAACUAGAGAAAGAGGGGUGGCCGGUGGCGACGUUUGGCGGCGAUUUGCGAUGGCUAGUGGUGGCCGGAGGUGGUCGGACUUGUGAGAUUCAACCUGGAACCAAUUAUCGAUGCUACGAACGCAAUGGUUACACGGAUCGUUACCAUUUAUCAUAAAGGACAAGGGGGCAAAGAUCGAGUCAUAGAACAUGGAUUGUAUGGAAUGGUGGUCACUUAGUUUGCAUUCGCAUGUUAUAGUUGGUACAUUAAUUAAAGAUGAAUGAUGUAAUUCUUUUAAA